rnacentral:tRNA from 1 species
GCAUUUCUUGGCUCAGUGAUGAGAGCGUAGGUCUCGUAACCGAGAGGUCGCGGGAUCGAAUCCCGCUAGAGGCU